UAAAGAAGGCUUGAGCAUUAUACAUUAUAAAUUGGCAAAAUUAUAUUCUGUUUUUUGUAUGCAAAGGAGGAAAUAUGACUAAACUUAUGAAGUUUGUUUGUGUUAUGAUCUUCUUUCUUUUCCUAUUUCAUGUUGCAACAAGUGAUGACCGCCGUGAGUGUUUUGGUGACAAUCAUUGUGCACAUAUUAAGUGUAAGCUUUCUUGGAUUCCGCGGUGUACUAGUACUUUUCAAUGCAAAUGUAUGGAUCCCAUCUCUGGUACAACUUUAUAAGGAAGAAUGAUUUCAUGCACCAGCAAAAGAUCUAUGAAACAUCGUUAUGAUAUAUGUCAUAUAAGUCAUUUAAUAAUCAUAUGUCAUUGAAUAAUUGUAUUUGCACCCAAUAAUUUAAUUUAAUUUGUUUUAUUUUUA